GAUCCUGGCUCAGGAUGAACGCUAGCGACAGGCCUAACACAUGCAAGUCGAGGGGCAGCGGGGAGGUAGCAAUACCUUUGCCGGCGACCGGCGCACGGGUGAGUAACACGUAUGCAAUCCACCUGUAACAGGGGGAUAACCCGGAGAAAUCCGGACUAAUACCCCAUGAUAUGGGCUCUCCGCACGGGGGGUCCAUUAAAGAGAGCAAUCUUGGUUACAGACGAGCAUGCGCUCCAUUAGCCAG
rnacentral:rRNA from 1 species